GCCGGAGUAGCUUAGCUGGUAAAGCAAUACUUUCGUAAAGUAGAGACUGUGGGUUCGAGUCCCACCUCCGGCUCCA
rnacentral:tRNA from 1 species